GCCAGGUGCAGUGGCGCAUGCCUGUAAUCCCAGUGGCUUGGGAGGCUGAGAUAGGAGAAUCGUGAGUUCAAAGGCAGCCUCAGCAACUGUGAAGCGCUAAGCAACUCAGUGAGACCCUGUCUCUA
rnacentral:sRNA from 1 species